AUUGAACGCUGGCGGCGUGCUUAACACAUGCAAGUCGAACGAUGAAGCCGGAGCUUGCUCUGGUGAAUUAGUGGCGAACGGGUGAGUAACACGUGAGUAACCUGCCCUUGACUCUGGGAUAACUGCGGGAAACUGUAGCUAAUACCGGAUACGACCCUCGGAGGCAUCUCCUGGGGGUGGAAAGAAUUUCGGUCAAGGAUGGACUCGCGGCCUAUCAGCUAGUUGGUGAGGUAAAGGCUCACCAAGGCGGCGACGGGUAGCCGGCCUGAGAGGGUAACCGGCCACACUGGGACUGAGACACGGCCCAGACUCCUACGGGAGGCAGCAGUGGGGAAUAUUGCACAAUGGGCGCAAGCCUGAUGCAGCAACGCCGCGUGAGGGAUGACGGCCUUCGGGUUGUAAACCUCUUUUAGCAGGGAAGAAGCGAAAGUGACGGUACCUGCAGAAAAAGCACCGGCUAACUACGUGCCAGCCGCCGCCGUAA
rnacentral:rRNA from 1 species